AAAAUUUCGUGCACUACCAUAGGGUGAAGAAGAAGCUCCUUUCUUCCAUAUUAUCGUCAUUUUACGGUGAAUCGAAGAGCUAAAUGCACCAACGAGGGAUUAUCAAGCAUUUAUUUAAAAGUGGUGGAUCUUGAUACUUUCUUACCAACUUAGGACUAUUCUAACCACUGGCGGAGGGAGAAUACAACAAGCUGUACCCCCAAAUCAUCGUAAUUAUGUUAUAUAUAUCAUUUGUCUUAAUAAAUAAAGAAUUGGCCGAGUGGAAAGAGGCUCCCAGACAGUUUUCAAGCCCUGUGUUCGAGCCUUAGGGAUGUCAUUUUUAUUAAUUGUUCUGUUUAAAAUAUUUUUCUUCUUUUACUAAAGCUUUAAAUUUUAAAUAUGUACUACAUGUCUUUAAUUUUUGCUUGUAAAACAUUUUUUUUCUACUAAUAUAUUUAUGUUAUCAUUA